GACGAACGCUGGCGGCGUGCUUAACACAUGCAAGUCGAACGGUAAGGCUCCAGCUUGCUGGGGUACACGAGUGGCGAACGGGUGAGUAACACGUGGGUGACCUGCCCUGCACUUCGGGAUAAGCCUGGGAAACUGGGUCUAAUACCGGAUAGGACCAUGGUGUGGAUACUGUGGUGGAAAGUUUUCUCGGUGUGGGAUGGGCCCGCGGCCUAUCAGCUUGUUGGUGGGGUAAUGGCCUACCAAGGCGGCGACGGGUAGCCGGCCUGAGAGGGUGGACGGCCACAUUGGGACUGAGACACGGCCCAGACUCCUACGGGAGGCAGCAGUGGGGAAUAUUGCACAAUGGGCGGAAGCCUGAUGCAGCGACGCCGCGUGGGGGAUGACGGCCUUCGGGUUGUAAACUCCUUUCACCAUCGACGAAGGGUUUCUGACGGUAGAUGGAGAAGAAGCACCGGCUAACUACGUG
rnacentral:rRNA from 1 species